AUUGAACGCUGGCGGCAGGCCUAACACAUGCAAGUCGAACGAGUGGCGGACGGGUGAGUAAUGUUUGGGAAUCUGCCAGAUGGAGGGGGAUAACUACUGGAAACUGUAGCUAAUACCGCAUACCAUAAGAUGAGCCCAGAUGGGAUGAGCUAGUUGGUGGGGUAAAGGCUCACCAAGGCGACGAUCCCUAGCUGGUCUGAGAGGAGGACCAGCCACACUGGAACGGAGACACGGUCCAGACUCCUACGGGAGGCAGCAGUGGGGAAUAUUGCACAAUGGGCGCAAGCCUGAUGCAGCCAUGCCGCGUGUAUGAAGAAGGCCUUCGGGUUGUAAAGUACUUUCAGCGGGGAGGCGUUACCCGCAGAAGAAGCACCGGCUAACUCCGUGCCAGCAGCCGCGGUAAUAC
rnacentral:rRNA from 1 species